rnacentral:rRNA from 1 species
CUUGUCCUAUGUUGCCAGCGGAUAAUGCCGGGGACUCGUAGGAGACUGCCGGGGUCAACUCGGAGGAAGGUGGGGAUGACGUCAAGUCAUCAUGCCCCUUACGUCCAGGGCUGCAAACAUGCUACAAUGGCCAGUACAAAGGGCUGCGAUCCCGCGAGGGUGAGCCAAUCCCAAAAAGCUGGUCUCAGUUCGGAUCGUAGUCUGCAACUCGACUGCGUGAAGUCGGAGUCGCUAGUAAUCGCAGAUCAGCAUUGCUGCGGUGAAUACGUUCCCGGGCCUUGUACACACCGCCCGUCACACCACGAAAGUCGGCAACACCCGAAGUCAGUGGCCAAACCCGCAAGGGAUGGAGCUGCCGAAGGUGGGGUCGGCGAUUGGGGUGAAGUCGUAACAAGGUAACCAAGGG